rnacentral:lncRNA from 1 species
UGCCAGUUCAAUCAGUAUGACCUAACCCGAUUCAGUGACUUGGUAAAGUCAGUGGGAGGAUUAUGGUCUACUGAUUGAUAUUUUUUUCUCUUUUUUUUAAAAUUGAUUAAAUCUUCUAAAUUAUUAGGUUCCUAAAAUGAGCUAGUUAUAGUGAUAACUAGAUCACAGCCUCCCAUUAAGAUGAAUGGUAAUGGGUUCAUUAUUUAUGAUUGAUAUUGCAGGCACCAUCC